UAAUUUGGUGACAAUGAUCCAGGUCGGUGGC
rnacentral:piRNA from 1 species